rnacentral:rRNA from 1 species
AAACCAACAGGGAUUGCCUCAGUAACGGCGAGUGAAGCGGCAAAAGCUCAAAUUUGAAAUCUGAGGCUUUCAGCCCCCGAGUUGUAAUUUGAAGAUGGUGUUCUGGUGCCGGCCCCCUGUCUACGUUCCUUGGAACAGGACAUCGCAGAGGGUGAGAAUCCCGUCUGGCGGGGCGGCCUGGCUCCGUGUAGAGCGCCAUCGACGAGUCGAGUUGUUUGGGAAUGCAGCUCUAAGUGGGUGGUAAAUUCCAUCUAAAGCUAAAUAUUGGCGAGAGACCGAUAGCGAACAAGUACAGUGAUGGAAAGAUGAAAAGAACUUUGAAAAGAGAGUGAAAAAGUACGUGAAAUUGUUGAAAGGGAAGGGUAUUGGAUCAGACUUGGUGCUGUGCGAAUAGCGGCUCUUCUUGGGCCGCCCACUCGCACUCCACCGGGCCAGCAUCGGUUUGGGCGGCAAGACAAUGGCGGGGGAACGUGGCACUGCUCUCGGGCAGUGUGUUUAUAGCCCCCGCUGAUGUUGCCUGCCUAGACCGAGGACUGCGGCUCUGCCUAGGAUGCUGCG